CCUUACGACUAUUCCUCCGUGCUGUACUGAGCAGAUGUCAGCUACAGCAGAGAAACUUGAUCCUAGUUCUUUCCUUAUUCCAGUCUCAAGAUGCUUUUGGUAUUUAGGAACUUCUGUUUUGUUUGGGAGCAGCACAUCAUGCCCCAUUCCUACAAACACUUGUUUGACAGAACACAGGAACAGCUCAGACACCUGAGACAUAGUUGGAAGAACAGGAAUUGGGUUUUCUUUGCUUGUUUACUCCAAAAUCUUACUCUACUGGAGGACCUGUAGAAUGAGAGAUUUCUCUGCUCUUAUCUGAAGGGUGUGAUAAUUUUUUAAUCAAAAGAGUCAAUAUUUCUAAGGAAUUUGAUUUCUGCUGAAGUUGAUGUUCUGGCAGGGCAUGACAUAUCACCAGGCAAUCUUAAUGGUGUCUUAAAGAUUUUUGUCAGUGAAUUUCCAAAUUUAUUUAUUUUGGAAUACCAAACUGGGUGAGACGUGACUUAAAUGCAUCAGACUUUUGCUAUUAAAAAAAAGUCUGCAACUUAUUAGCAUCACACAUGCCUAGCAGAGAUUUACAAAUGGGAUUUUGUCUGACUGUUAGCUGGCAUGCAAAUGGAGCAAGACAUAAGGAUCCAAAAGAAAACACACAGCUGUAAUGAAUUAAAUCUUAUUCAAAUGAUUCCAGAACCAAUUCCAGGGACUGUCAUUCACUGUUCAAACAGAAAUAAAAU